AAGGGCGUGGGAGGUCUCUGACCUGACACUAUGGGAGACAAAAGAGGUGAUAACUUCGAAGGUAUGAGCACUGAAUGCCUUAAACUGGAGUUAUUGGAAGAAAUCCAUAAGAAAAACUUAGUAGAACUCUCAAUAAUUGAAAUAAGACAAAACAUAGUAGAACUGGAAGCCAAACUCAAUACUGACAAGGAAGGCAGUGAAUGGAAAAUCCGUUAUGAGACACAACUUGAACUGAAUGAUCAUCUAGAAAAGCAAAUUAUUACUCUCAAAGAAAAACUGGAAAAAAUCCGUGCAAAUCCUUCAGAUAGACUAUCUUCCAUUCGUGUCUAUGAAAGAAUGCCAGUGGAAUCCUUAAUUACAUUACUUACACAGCUGGAAAAAGAAAAAAGGAUUCUUGAAAAUCAAGUGAAAGACUGUGCACUUAGACUGGAACAAGAAUCAAAGGCUUACCACAGGGCCAUUGAUGAACGCCGUAUAUACCUAGCUAAAAUGUCUCAGGUCUCUGGCUCACACCAAGUUUCUAAAAGGCAACAGAUGGAUCAACUGCAUAGAAAGAAAGAUAAUCUAGUGAAAAUCGGAAGACAUAAUCCAGGUAAUCAGAAGUUAGCAAAUGCCAAGAAAGAACCAGCAAAAAAGAUUACAAGAUCAAACCAUCUUCCAAAACUCAACCCAUGAUUCCAGAACUGAGUGGAUUUCUAUUUCUUCCCUUUUUUCAUCUGUAAUAUUCAACUUGUGAAGUUAAUGUUCAAGACAUUUUUCAGGGAAUGAAAUAGAUAAGAAAGAGCUAUUAAACCUCUUUAGCUCCUCUUCCAGAAGUUUGUUCCUUUGUCUGCAUGAAAGUAA